GACGAACGCUGGCGGCGUGCCUAAUGCAUGCAAGUCGCACGCACCGUGCUUGCACGGUGAGUGGCGCACGGCUGAGUAGCACGUGGAUCACCUGCCCCACGGUGGGGAUAACGCCGCGAAAGCGGCGCUAAUCCCGCAUACGCUCGCAAGAGGAAAGCGCCUCGGCGCGCCGUGGGAGGGGUCGUGCGGCCCAUCAGGUUGUUGGUGUGGUAACGGCGCACCAAGCCCGCGACGGGUAGCUGGUCUGUGAGGACAGACAGCCAGACUGGGACUGAGAUACGGCCCAGCUCCUACGGGAGGCAGCAGCAAGGGAUUUUCCGCAAUGGGCGCAAGCCUGACGGAGCAACGCCGCGUGCGGGACGACGGCCUC
rnacentral:rRNA from 1 species